AGGAUGAACGCUAGCGGCAGGCCUAACACAUGCAAGUCGAGGGGCAGCACGUCUUCGGAUGGUGGCGACCGGCGCACGGGUGCGUAACGCGUAUGCAACCUACCUCUUACAGUGGGAUAGCCCAGAGAAAUUUGGAUUAAUACCGCAUAGUAUAAAGGGCCAGCAUUGGUUUUUUAUUAAACAUUCAUGGGUAAGAGAUGGGCAUGCGUUCUAUUAGCUAGAUGGAGUGGUAACGGCACCCCAUGGCUACGAUAGAUAGGGGCCCUGAGAGGGGGAUCCCCCACACUGGUACUGAGACACGGACCAGACUCCUACGGGAGGCAGCAGUGAGGAAUAUUGGACAAUGGGCGAGAGCCUGAUCCAGCCAUGCCGCGUGCAGGAAGACGGCCCUAUUGGUGUAAACUGCUUUUGACGGAAGAAACACCCCUCGUGAGGGCUUGACGGUACCGUAAGAAUAAGGAUCGGCUAACUCCGUAGCCAGCAGCCGCGGUAA
rnacentral:rRNA from 1 species